rnacentral:rRNA from 1 species
AGUGAACGCUGGCGGCGUGCUUAACACAUGCAAGUCGAACGAGAACGGAUUAUAGCUUGCUAUAAUUGUCAGCUAAGUGGCGCACGGGUGUGUAAUGUAUAGGUAAUAUGCCUCUUACUAAGGGAUAACAAAUGGAAACGUUUGCUAAUACCUUAUACUCCUUAUUAACCGACGUUAAUAAGGGAAAGAUUUAUUGGUCAGAAAUUAGCCUGUAUUGUAUCAGUUAGUUGGUGGGGUAAUGGCUUACCAAGACUAUGACACAUAACUGGUUUGAGAGGAUGAUCAGGCACACUGGAACUGAGACACGGUCCAGACUCCUACGGGAGGCAACAGUGGGGAAUAUUGCACAAUGGACGAAAGUCUGAUGCAGCAACGCCGCGUGGAGGAUGACACAUUUCGGAGCGUAAACUCCUUUUAUAUGAGAAGAUAAUGACGGUAUUAUAUGAAUAAGCACCGGCUAACUCCGUGCCAGCAGCCGCGGUAA